GUUUUCCGCAAGGGAAAUUGUAAAGUGGCGCACGGGUGAGUAAUAUAUGGGUAACCUGCCUGGAUGUGGGGGAUAACUCCGUGAAAGCGGGGCUAAUACCGCAUUCGAUCCUGAUGCAAAAGCAGAGGGAUGAAAGAUGGCCUCUAUUUAUAAGCUAUCGCUUCCAGAGGGGCCCAUAUCCCAUUAGCUAGUUGGUAGGGUAACGGCCUACCAAGGCAACGAUGGGUAGCCGGUCUGAGAGGACGGCCGGCCACACUGGCACUGGAACACGGGCCAGACUCCUACGGGAGGCAGCAGUGAGGAAUAUUGCGCAAUGGGCGAAAGCCUGACGCAGCGACGCCGCGUGGGGGAUGAAGGUUCUCGGAUUGUAAACCCCUUUCGACCGGAAAGAAACGCCCUUGGGUAAAUAAUCCAGGGGCCUGACGGUACCGGGAGAAGAAGCCACGGCUAACUCUGUGCCAGCAGCCGCGGUAAGACAGAGGUGGCGAGCGUUGUUCGGAUUUACUGGGCGUAAAGCGUACGUAGGCGGUUGUGUGUGUCAGAUGUGAAAUCCCCAGGCUUAACUUGGGAACUGCAUUUGAAACUGCACGACUUGAGGACAAUAGGGGAAAGCGGAAUUCCCGGUGUAGCGGUGAAAUGUGUAGAUAUCGGGAAGAACACCUGUGGCGAAGGCGGCUUUCUGGGUUGUCCCUGACGCUGAGGUACGAAAGCGUGGGUAGCGAACAGGAUUAGAUACCCUGGUAGUCCACGCCCUAAACGAUGGAUGCUAAGUGUCGGGAGUAUCGAUCCUCCCGGUGCCGCACCUAACGGAUUAAGCAUCCCGCCUGGGGAGUACGGCCGCAAGGUUGAAACUCAAAGGAAUUGACGGGGGCCCGCACAAGCGGUGGAGCAUGUGGUUUAAUUCGACGCAACGCGAGGAACCUUA
rnacentral:rRNA from 1 species